CACGGGAGGGAGAAGGGCGUGAAGUCCAGCGGCGCCAUUAUCGUUGAGGGCGAAGGCUUCAAGGCUCUGGUGCGGCGCACUGGGCUGUCUUCAGGGAAGUGAUGCGGCUGACCCAGGACUGCCUACCUGGGCGCGAUCGGAAAGUCCCAGCCCUCCCCUUGUCCCCGUUUUAGCGAAAAGAGAGAGCAAGAGUAAAGAAAAGAAGGGGGAAAUGGAGGUGAAGAAGCUUAAGGAGCCUGUGUGAGAGAGGCUGACUGGUUAGGCAGCAUGGCAGGAGUCCUUUGAAGAACCAGGGGCCCUGAACCAGGGGGUAUGGCCAGAUAUCACCUCAGGGCUCCUGAACUAUGGGACAACAGUGCUGUUUGGCUCCGAAGAAACCCUACCUGAGUCUUGGCUGUCCUCUUCCUCCUGGCCAGACACCAGCAGGCCUACUGUGCUGGCAGCCUUCCCUGUGACAAUGUGGAUGCUGCUCUCUCAGUGCAAGAACCUGCCCCACCAUCUGCCCGUCCACAGGUGAGACAGUCGUCUCCCCCCCCCCACCCCCCCUGCCGUGUGGCUGCUGCCUUUGAAAAAGUAGGGCCCUGGCCACCUACAGAAGGAAGAAGCUUUAUGCAAGUCUGGACUGUGGGCAGCUCUUUGCCACCCCCUCACUGUUAGACACGGACAGACCACUCCGGUGACUGUCCCCGUGUGAGUGGCUCCUGUGGUGUCCCCGUUUCCCGGAGGACUCACCUGAUCUAGCACCAGCUGCUCCACAUAGGGCACACCCGUGUCCUGACUGCACCCGCUGCCUCCACCCGGGGAAGCGCCCUGGGUGCCCAUAAGUGCAGACAUGUGGGCAGACUGGGGGUGCGACUUUGCAUACCCGCCUCCCGGCCAACCACCUGCUUAUGCACUUGAGUAAACACUGCCAUACCAUGGUCUAUAGUGUGGUACUCACUUUUGCUCACCAAAAAAAUUUGCUCCAGCACCAGCUUAUCCACACGGGAAAGAAGCCCUCUGGUGCUGUGGCUGUAAGGCGGUGUUCCUGCCACAGGCUCCUUUGACCAUUCACAGAUGCCCACGCACACCUGGGGAAACCUUCCUCCUGCCCAGAAUGUGGCAUCUGCUUCCUGCACUCCUCCCUGCUCAGCCACAGGCACAUCCACUCUCAUGAGAGGCCCUUUCCCUGCACUGAAUGUGGGAAAAGCUCCAAGAGGAAGCAUGCCCAGAAAGCCCACCAUGGAAUCCAUCAGGGAUACACGGAAGGGCCAAGGUGUGGGAGCCCUGAGCCAGCCUCCUCCCUUGGGGAUCAAGACCCUCAGUUCAUGUCCACUAUUGGAUACAUUCCAGGAGUGUGGGUGACUGGGGUCAAGUGCUGCGAAGGGGUUUAUGAUGGAAGACAUUGUUUCCUGUCAAGCGUUCACCACUCAGAGCGGGUGGAGGCAAGAGAGAAAGGAAAAAAGGGGGAGGUGUACAAAGUGACAAAGUCCAUAGGUGCCUUGGAGUCCUCCUUCAGAGAGCAGGAUAUAGAGGUAAUCGGAAAUGUACCAGCGAGUUACGUCACCCAGAAAUGGACAGGUUGGAACUGGACUGCAAGAAUCUGUUAAGGAACGGGAAGAUUCCAUCAUUACCCAUGACUUUGUCCCAGGACUAACACUGCUUGCUGGAGUCUGGGUUUAUGGCGCAAUGGCAUUUUAGGGAAAUAGAAGUUUGCACUGCCUGAUGCUUUCCUCUCACUGAGCAUGAAACAAGGAGAAAUGACGCUCAGAGCCUUUCACCCAGUUUAGAGCUGCCAGUGCAAGGCAGAGGACAUUCUCCAGCUUCAAAUCUCAUCCCCACCUUUACUAACAGGCAGUCUGCUCAACUGUCUGCUAACCAUCCUCAUAAAGGACUCUGGAAGGUGAA